AGGAGGAGGAACUUAGGGAGAGGCUUCCGUGCCAUUUCUUCCAUUUUUGCAUCCCACAUCUAAGAAGAAAGCAGACUCUGUAAGGUCCUUCGUACCUGCUUAUACCUCUGUUCUACUCCCUCUUCUCAGGGCAGACUAUCAUGAGCUUAUCUGGACCUCUGCAGCAUUGCCAAACUGGCUUCCUGUCUCUGUGCUCUCUCCCCUCCUCCCAGCCGCCACAAUGAAGCCAGUGACCUUUUGAAAUUAUAAAUCUGGGCACCUGGCAUCCACUGUAGGACGUGGUGCAGACAAACUGUAGUUGAGUCUACAGAGGCCCUUCACAGUCUGGCUACAACCUGUCUGUCCUGGCUCCUCUCUCACCACUUCUUCCUCACUGAAGACUCUUACUACGCACAGAAGGUGGCACAUCCUUUUAUAUAAUGCUUUCUGCCUGAAAUGUCCUUUUGCCUUUUUUGAUUCAUAGGCUUCAAGGAUCCCUCAAAUCCAGACUCCAAUAGCAUCUCUUUCAUGCCGUAUAUUGCCAAUUUCCUUUCCUUCUCUGGCGUAAAUGUACAGUCACGUGAUGCACAAUAACAUUUCAGUCAAUGACGGACCUCAUAUGUGACCAUAGUCCCUUAAGAUUAUAAUGGAGCUGAAAAAUUCCCAUUGCCUAUUGAUGUUGUAGUAGUUAUAGCACAGCACGUUACUUUUCUAUGUUUAGGUAUGUUGUGAUACAAAAAUACCACUGUGUCACAAUUGCCUGCAGUAUUCAGUACAGUAACAUGCUGAACAGGCUUGUAGCCUAGGAGCAAUGAGUUAUACUAAAUAGCCUAGGUGUGCAGUAGGCUAUACCAUCUAGGUUUGUUGAGUAUACUCUAUCAUGUUUGCACAACAACAAAAUCACCUAACACAUUUCUCAGAAUGUAUCAUCAUUAAGUGACUGUAUUCCCACUCUCACUUGUUCAGGUCUUGAUUCUAGAGUUCAUCACUUCGAAUAAUUGUCUCCCUCACCAGAUUUGGAGCUCCUGUUGAGGAAAAACACUUUGAAUAAAUCAAUAUCUGGAACAAAAGCAAGAAGGACCUCACCAGAUGCUGCCCCUCAAUCUUGGAUUUCCUGGCCUCCAGAACUGUGAGCCAAUAAAUUUCUAUUCAUUCUGAAUUAACCAGUCUGUGGUAUUCUCUUAUAGCAGCACAAAAUGAACUGAGACAGGUGUGCUCACUCAGUGAAAAUGUUUUGAACUGCAUGCUUAUGCUUAUGAAUUGUUAACUUCUCUGCGUGCAUGUUACAUUUCAAUAAAAAAAGUUUACUCAGAAA